rfam:Triticum aestivum genome assembly, contig: Triticum_aestivum_CS42_TGACv1_scaffold_602761_7DL
UAAAUACUCCCUCCGUUCCUAAAUAUAAGUCUUUUUAGAGAUUUUAAUAGAAACUACAUACGGAUGUUAGAGUGUAGAUUCACUCAUUUUGCUCUGUAUGUAGUUUCUGUUAAAAUCUCUAGAAAGACUUAUAUUUAGGAACGGAGGGAGUAUAUU